rnacentral:rRNA from 1 species
GACGAACGCUGGCGGCGUGCUUAACACAUGCAAGUCGAACGGAAAGGCCCUGCUUUUGUGGGGUGCUCGAGUGGCGAACGGGUGAGUAACACGUGAGUAACCUGCCCUUGACUUUGGGAUAACUUCAGGAAACUGGGGCUAAUACCGGAUAGGAGCUCCUGCUGCAUGGUGGGGGUUGGAAAGUUUCGGCGGUUGGGGAUGGACUCGCGGCUUAUCAGCUUGUUGGUGGGGUAGUGGCUUACCAAGGCUUUGACGGGUAGCCGGCCUGAGAGGGUGACCGGCCACAUUGGGACUGAGAUACGGCCCAGACUCCUACGGGAGGCAGCAGUGGGGAAUAUUGCACAAUGGGCGGAAGCCUGAUGCAGCAACGUCGCGUGCGGGAUGACGGCCUUCGGGCUGUAAACCGCUUUCGCCUGUGACGAAGCGUGAGUGACGGUAAUGGGUAAAGAAGCACCGGCUAACUACGUG